rnacentral:tRNA from 1 species
CAAAGUGUAGCUUAAACUAAAGCACCUGGCCUACACCCAGAAGAUUUCAUAGUCAUGACCACUUUGA